CAGGUAACUGCUCGAACAGGUUUUGUGUUCUUUCUCAGGAAGGUUUUCUUUUAAAAAAGAAUAAGCCCAGUGACAUCACAAUGGUUUGCCUGUGAUGUCAUAAACACAAACAAGAAUAAACAAUAACUGCUGUGUGUCUUCACUUCAUGUUGAGACAACGUGAGGUGAACAUUGCAGACUUGUAGCUCUGCAGUUUCAAGUGCGAAUCGCUUAUUUCUUUUCUCUCCCUCAUCAGUGUAAUUAGAACUAACACGAAUUGAAGCGGAGGGAAAGGAGCAAUACCUUCGUGGUAUCACUCUUGGUUGUGAGAAGAGUUUUGAGGUAAUUUGAAUUCAAUAUAUACUGGACACUAUUUGUAAAGAAAUUGGAUUUUAGUACGAAUUUCAAAGACGGGAAAACUGGAAAAAUGAUGUGAAUGUGGGGUAACCCGAUUGAAUUGAUGCGUGUAUGUUGUGGGUCACAAUGGUUCCAGUACUUGCCAAAACCAAAAUUAUAUUGGCCACAUUUUUGUGUCCACUCUUUGAUGGAGCAAAAUGUUUCUUCUGGUCUUUGCUGAAGGUGAUAUUAGCAGGGAAAAUGUUCAUCUCGGAUGACCACAAGAUCCCAUUAUCACAACAAUUCGCAAAAAAAACAAGAAUGGAAUUCUCCCGUAUAAAUCAUCUACGAUUUAUCCCUCAGUGAAUGUUGUUUCAAUGGAGAAACUAGUCAUUACCAAUUGUUAUUCAUGAAAACGUGCUUUCUGCACAUUAACCAGUGCCUUUCCUACAUUACAGCAGCCAAAAAAUAGUAUUUGGAUGAAAAAGGCCCUUUGGGAAAUCAUUCCCGAUGUUCAAGGAGUUGAAUUAGAGCAAAGCUUCGUUGAGUUUCAUUUUGAACUGAAGUAUCUGAAGGGUGAUGUCCUGGCUGCUCAGUUGACAAGUUAAAAUGUUAAAUUGUUGAAGGAAGACCAAGUAGACAGUGAAGGCGCAAAUGAAUAUUUGACAUAUAUAAUGAGGCUGAAGUCAGCAGUUGAUAUUUUUUGGUCUAGUAUUUAAGUGUGAUCGUACUCUUUCUCUUUUCAUGUUGAAUUUGGCUUUUACUUUUAUGGUGUUUUCAUUUGUCUUUUAGGUUUGACGAUACUUCACCUUUCUCAUUCCUCAGACUCCAACCCACUUUGAUUCUGAAAGAUUUGACUGUUAUUUCCGGUCAGUCAGCUUGCCGAAGCAGUCAGAUUUCCGUCAUACUACUCUGAAUAAAAAUGGCAUCAGGAGAUGAGCUUCCAUCACAUCUCACUGUCAAUACCUCCAACGUUCAAAUUCUUAACUCUGAGACCACAAAAAGACUCGUCGAAAAUUUUGUAAUCGCUCUCAUGAACAAGGAGCGUUUCUACAUCUGCACAUUCUUUUCGACAUACCAAGCAUAUACCACUGCUGAAAGUGUGUUGUACAUCCUCCUGGACAAAUAUGGAAGCUUUGACACCUCAGAGGCAGAAGAGAUUCCAGUAAUCGAUUCAGUGAGCACAAAGUAAGAUUUAAUCUUAUGUGUGACUUAAUUAAGUUUCAUCCAAAAUACAACAAUGUUAAAAAACCUGCUGGCACUUCCUGUAAGAUCUAUGGAGGGCCUUCCUCCCACAGCAAUGCAGCAAACACGAGACAGCAGCAGUCACAUUAACAAAGUUGCUUGAUUGUAUCAAAAAUCUACACAGAUUUUGUUUGUUUAAAAAGAAAAGUUGUAUCAACAGAAAAGAUCCAAAAGUGUUCAGUGAAAAAUUGCUCAUCCAUUCACUAUUCAGAUCUCCAUUUGUCGCCAAACAUUUAGAUAGCUGAGCUCUGAAUUAAGGAUACAACAUGUCGAAGAAUUGAGGUUCCUACCUUCUCCCCUCCCCUCAGUCUGCCUGUGGUGUCUUUCAAAUCUCCUGUGAAGGUUUUGAAGAAAAACCUACUCGCAGUACAUCUGGAGGGUGAUCUAUUUUAUAAAAACAGUUGACCAAGAAUGAAAUAGAGGCAGAGCUGCAAUCUUUUCUUUGCUGUCAUUACGGUUGGUAUUGCUGAGCUUAUACAAAGGAGAUCUGCAGGCCAAUGUCCACUGUAGGAGUUGAGGAGCUCCAAUAUUUGCCAGAGAGACAGACAUGUGCAGCUCUCAGCUGGUGACUUAAUU